UUUAAAUAGCUUUGUUGGUGUGUCAAAUAUUAAAUGCAAUUAUUUUUGUUUUUUUAAUUAAAUAAUAUUAAUCCAGCACACUUAAUUACGAAAAAUACCAAGUGUCAUUCACGUUUAACUAAUUUUAAUUAGCCUGUAAUGUCAUGAAUGUCAUUAUCCACACAAAGUCACAUUAGACAGGUAGUAAGCCGGUUGAUGACUUAAAUAAUAAGACACCAUGUCACCGCAAUUGUUCAUUGUACUCACGACACUUAUUAUUAAUUUAUUAUCGACAAAAAAAAAUUUUAAAAAUCAAUUACUGUUUAUACGAACGAAAAAUGAAUAUAGUAUCGUAAAUAAUCGCGAGAAUCACUUGGUACAUGCUCCCAUCCCGUGGCUGCUCGCUCCUCCGUUGGCGGGCUUCGAAUGACGGCGAGCUCUACUGUUUUACCACGCAGCCUUCUGCCGCGCACGUUCCCUUUUUAUCCUUGUUACUCCGGGUAGCAAGCACGGACUGUCAUUGUUCGGUUCUGUUCACCGACGCUGCUGUUCACCCCACAAACACUAACGCACUCAUUUCCGUCUCACUCUGACGGCAGUUCGCGGCAAACUGGCGGGAAAGAGACAGGUUAUGUCUGUGUAGCUGCGCAUGCGCGGAGAAAAUAUCAACCACUUGGUAAAAGCAACCCUCUACCCUCUACUCUGCUUCGGAAAAUAUACACACACAUGUAAAUACACACAAUAUACAUCACGGGAGGCAAACUUGUACACACACGUACUUUGACGGUGGCGCGAUAAAGAAGAUGCACUACUAUACAGUACACUAGUGGCACGAGACGUUGCGAAAACGCUUUGCCACCACUCGAAUGAGGAACCUGAGGUACAGUAUACAUUUAUAGAUAUAUAUAUAUAUAUAUAAGGCUCUAUAGGGUUAGCUAGGUUUAGGUUUAUGUGUAUGUGUAUAUAGAAUUUAUUUUAUAUGUGAAUGAAUAUGUGAGGCCAACAUGUCUAGGUAAAUCUUAGCCAGUCCCGGUUAUUAUUUCAUUAAUGCGUUGCAGUUGGAAAAAAUUGCAUUGUCCCUGCUGUAAGCCAGUGUAAUUUUUUUCACAAUAAUUUAGUUGCAUUUCUGUUAAAAAAAAAAAUGGAGUAAACUGAAUUGAGAAUCAAGUGAAUUGAAUAAACAUAUAAAUAUUAGCGGUGAACGCUAAAAGGAGUGUAAAAAAGGUAUUUAUUUUAAAAAAUGAUAAAAAGGAAUUCGAGACAAUGCGAUAACCAACUAAAAGUUUAUAAGUACGUGAUUUGAAUCUGGUACAAGCGAAGAGACGAUAAGGGACAAGUCUCUGAAAAUGGGCAAUGUAUGGCUAAAGUCGGUCGCCAUGAGCCAUUAACAUACUCUUAUCUAAAAAGACUUGCAAAAGUAUAUAACGCCGAAUAAUAAGAUAGCAGUUACCAACACAGAGAACCAGUCGAGAGUUACUCAGCUCGGCUCUACUCUGUAGUUCCGAGUAAGUAAAAGUAAGGUGGUUAAACACUAAAAAGUAUAAAAAACUACCAUCAGGUUUAUCAGCUUCACAUGUAAUGCUCGUCUCUUUUGAAUUACAUAAAUCAUCCGUAGAGUCCAGCCAGAUCCAGGGUACUGCUGAUGACCACUGGGUAAUGUAUCCAACAAUUAACACAAGUAUACUGUUGCUUUAAAUUCAUUAUCGUUUACUAAUUACUUUCAAUGAUUUCGGGUCAUUGUAUUCCUGCUACUGCUACUCCUGUAAUUUAUUACCUUUGUAAAUACAUAUGUAUGUAUAUGUGUGUUAUUAUUUAUGUCUACGGUAAAUAUAUUUGUUAUAUGUGUACAUAAUCAAUUUGACGUACAUACGAUGCCAACUAUUUCAAUUCUCUCGUUUAUCCACAGAGAACUUGUUUAUAAACUCAGCCUCGUACUAAUUUAACUACGGUUCGACUGUUAACCGCACCACCAAAGUAACCACACCAGUAUAUAACUUUAUUAUAAAAUUAAAACAGUUUAAUUUUCAAAAUUAUCAAAUACACAUUAAACGUCGCUCUUGAUAAUAAUUUCCAUUCUAUCCAGCUUACAUAUAUACAUAUAUAUUUAUUUAUCACAGUACAAUCAACUGUGAUAUACGUCUGGACACAUACAAUUACAGUUAAUAAAUCAAAAUAUCAAGUAUUGUGAGUAUUUCAAAAGUAUUCUACCGCAAUUUUAAGUUGAAAAUUUUUGAGUUUUAACUUUAAAAAAAUUUUUUUAAUUUAUGAUAAUAAGUA